GAUGAACGCUGGCGGCGUGCCUAAUACAUGCAAGUCGAGCGAACAGACGAUGAGCUUGCUCCUCGGACGUGAGCGGCGGACGGGUGUGUAACACGUGUAUAACCUACCUAUAAGACUGGGAUAACUUCGGGAAACCGGAUCUAAUACCGGAGAAUAUAUUGAAGCGCGGGGGGCAAUGGUAAAAGACGGUUUUGCUGUCACGUAUAGAUGGAUCCGCGCCGCAUUAGCUAGUUGUGAAGGUAAUGGCCUACGAAGGGAAGGAUGCGUAUCCGAACGCAUAGGGGGGUCGCCCACCCUGGAACGUAGCCAGCGUCCAGACUCCUGAGGGAGGCACCAGUAGCGAAUCUGCCGCAAAGGUCGAGAGCAUGACGGAGCAAGCCCGAGUGAGUGAUGACGGUCUCCGGAUCGUAAUACCCUCUUUCUAGGGAUGAACCAAUGUGUACGUAAACAUGGCCGUAGUGACGGUAACUAAUCAGAAAGCCACGGCUAACUACGUG
rnacentral:rRNA from 1 species